rnacentral:rRNA from 1 species
ACGAACGCUGGCGGCGUGCCUAAUACAUGCAAGUCGAACGGUUUAGUUCCAAGAGGCAAGACUCUUGGAACUCAGCAGUGGCGGACGGGUGAGUACACGUAGGCAACCUACCUGUCAAACCGGGAUAACCUCGGGAAACCGAAGCUAAACCCGGAUAAGCUCCUUUUUCGCAUGAAGGGGGAGUGAAAAGGUGCGACCUGAUGACAGAUGGGCCUGCGGCGCAUUAGCUAGUAGGUAGGGUAACGGCCUACCUAGGCGAUGAUGCGUAGCCGACCUGAGAGGGCGUACGGCCACACUGGGACUGAGAUACGGCCCAGACUCCUACGGGAGGCAGCAGUAGGGAAUCUUCGGCAAUGGGCGAAAGCCUGACCGAGCAACGCCGCGUGAGUGAGGAAGGCCUUCGGGUUGUAAAACUCUGUUGUUUGGGAAGAAGGGAAAGGGUAGGACCCUUAGGUGACGGUACCAAACGAGAAAGCCCCGGCUAACUACGUG